AUGUAAACAUUCAUUAAACUAAUUUAAAGUUGUCAUUACUCUCCACCCCUGCUGUUUUAUAUCAGAUUAUUCCUAAGUGCUUGGUGAAGAAUCCCAUCAAGCCACACUCGAUUCCUCUGCAGGGGAUAAUCGCAUAGUUUGCGCUGUGAUUUACACUGCGUGGCACUGGGAAGUGUCCUCGACUUUGAAAGGCCUUGGUCCCCGGGCACUUGGUUGCUGCCUUCCCCACGGAAAUCCAACUCCAAUGGUCCCUCCAUGACAAUUAUGAGGUCCCCAUUACCUUGGCUCCAUCCAACUGGAGAUAAUUAAAAACAGCUCAAAGCACACGCCAGAAGGUAUCGGGCAUUUUAUUAAUAAAUGGAGAAGUGAGGAAAUGAUAUGUUCCGUUAACGGUUUCAACUGUAAGAUGCUCUUACGGUCCUUUCUUGCUUUUUUUCUCCCCAUCUUGUGUUUGGGGGCAGCCAGGCAUUCUGCGCUCAGAGAUCAGAAGAAGCAAGGAGGGGUUAUUUCACCUUUGUUAAACUCCAGCUGAAGCCGUGGCUCUAAGGUCAUCAGGAACCACAUUCCUCCCCUUGGAGAAAAUGCUUCCAAGGGAGGGAGAGGCUUUAAAAGUAUGUGGGCACCAGCUUUGCCAGUAGGACAGCCACCCUCAGUCACCCCCAUCCCCUGUACGCAGUAGGAACAGCAAUACAUCAUGCAAGCCUGCUCUGACCUUGACCAGAGGCGCUGAACAUACCCACAGAGCCCAACAUGGGCCUGGCAGGGAGGCAUAUCAGCCCUGAUCAAAGCUGCUAUGGAGGAGUUCCCGUGGUGGCUCAGCAGCAACAACUAGGAUGACUGAAUGCAUCUGUAAAAACAACUGUGGGGACUCUUUAAAAAAGAAAUGGAUGAGAACAUUCUGGAAACAGUCAUUUUUAAAACACACCUUAGCACACCUUUUGUCCCCCUCCUCGCCAGCAGUAUUCGGAUUUCACUCUCUUACAAACACCACUGUUGCUCUCCUCUUCUUAAAGGACACCUGCCGGCAGCGUUUUAGGGUGCUUUCGGAGACCUCUUUGGUGAAAAGGAAUGGUGAUACAAACUUUGAGAAGCGUUCUUGUUGUGAAGGAGGCGCCAGAUCAAAUCCUGCGACCUGGGAUGUCAGGUCCACACUCAGGAAAUUAUUUCUUCUUCAAGAGAAUGCAGAGGGAAUAUGGGAAAAAGGGAGACCCUUUCUGAAAUGAGGGCAUCAGCUUCCUGGCAGAGCCCGGGACUACGAAUCCACUGACAUGGUUCUUGAGAAAACUUACAUUUGUUAGCAUCUCUGAAUCUUCCAGAACCACAGCAUGUUAAGUCUUACACUCCUCUCUCUCCCUGACCAACGCUCUUCGUAAAGACCGGGGGGCAAGCUAAUCGCAGUAAAAGGGGUUAAACAGAGUAAGAGGCUCUCAAAAGUGAGAGCCUCUGGCAAGGUCUGGGUGUGCAGUGGCAGACGAGGCAGGGUGUCUGCAGAAUCCUUUCCAAAUGUCCCCAGCUUCAGAGGUGAGCAGGCUUUGUCCUGUGCACAGUGCCGAUGUGACAACAGGUUCAGAGGGGACAGAAUGGUGGACUCGAAGAAUACCAAAACACACAGGACGGAAGGCCUGUGGGGAGAGCGAGGCCUCUGUCACCCACCAUGUGACAGAGCAGACAACGCCAUGCGGCUCUGCCUCAACUGAGGAGACAGCACCCAGGUCUCUUGGGUGAACCCCCGCCUUGCCAGGCUACCAGGAAUCAGAAAGGAAGACGCUGCACGCAUCGAAACUCAAACUCGAGUCCUUUUCUCAAUAACACUUAAUCGAGAAAGAAAAGAAAAGAAACCCACAGAAAAGUCAGGCAAACCCACUGAUGAACCGGCAGAUUUUACUUCUCUCCACUGCGGGAGCCCCGGCUUUUUAAAAGUGUCCUCAAUCCGGUGAUGCUAUCAGCUUUGACGUGUGGUUUGAAAAAGCGGAUAUUACACUUUAACUGCCCUCACGAUGGAAACAUUUAAGGCAAACCAUCGAGUUUAUUUUCCUCCUCGCCCAGCCGAGAUAAGCUGUGCCUGGAACCCCGGGGAGUUCUCGUAAACGGGCGCCUGGUGGCCUGAUGGGAAGCCGGGCUGAUGUGCAGAACCUCUGCCCUCCGCACACACCUGAGGUGCCGGGGCAGAUCCGCUGGAACAAGGGCAAUCAGAACAGGUCCAGUCAUCAGAUCAUUUCUGAUUGAAAAUUCUGAGAAGUGAGUUAUGCACGAUGCUCGGUUAGUCACUGUGUUUCUCAAAAGCGCUGCGCUGUGGAAAACCGGAGCCCGCCCGUCCUGGGGCCCGAAGGUCAACUUCAUGGGUUCGUGCACACGUGCGAGGGGCAGGUUCCACUCCUGCCAGGUUCGAACCUCCCAUCUUCUGUCUCCCCUUCCCACAGCCUGGCUCAGCCCCAAGAAACCCACGGGAGGCAGGUGUGGGAACCUCGCUGCACCCUGGACACUCUCGCCAGUGUGUCCCGCAGAAGAGAAAAGUUAGAUUACCUUGCGUUAAAAUUUAGAAUCGGGCUCAGUCGCAGCUGUGGCAAGAACAUUAGGGAGCGAGGAAGGUUGGCCUGCAAGAUCCAUGCAUUUCCAACAAGCAGAAAUGGUCACUUAAAAAGACACAAAGUCUAGGACCUUAUCAGCUACAUGCUUGAGCUUCAGUGCAAAGCACAAACUGAGUUUCGACGGUACAUUUGGGGGGUGGGGGGUGGGGUUCCUUAGCUCAGAUGGACUUGACAGCGUUGUGUGGAAGCACAGCACCAAAGUGAGGUGUGUGUUCAUGUUGUCUAAUUUCAUUUCAUUAGAAGAUAAAAGCUACCUGGGAAAUGAAAGGAAACAUUAAAAACUGCCGCAACAAAGCAAAUUGCUCCGUGGCAUUUGGGAAUCCUUGGUCCUCAAGUACAUCACGCACAGAAAAGACAGCUGCUCAGCCAGAGACAGGUGUGUCAAGGAAAAUAUGGUGCAGCAAGCUCGAAAGGCCUGUCCAGAAAAAUCUUCCGUUCUAAGUUGCUGGGAAACAGAAGAGCAGGGUUUGCGGUGAGCCUCCUCUCACCUGUGUGAACAGCAAGAGCAAAGGAUGAAGAUCUGAGCAGAGGAAGGCAGAUGAAAGAGA
rnacentral:lncRNA from 1 species